rnacentral:rRNA from 1 species
GAUGAACGCUGGCGGCGUGCCUAAUACAUGCAAGUCGAGCGAACGGACGAGAAGCUUGCUUCUCUGAUGUUAGCGGCGGACGGGUGAGUAACACGUGGAUAACCUACCUAUAAGACUGGGAUAACUUCGGGACACCGGCGCUAACACCGGAUGAUCUUUUGCACCGCAUGGUUGAAAAGUGAAUGUCGGUCUUGCUGGCACUUAUCGAUGGAUCCGGGCUGUAGUAGCUGGUUGGUAAGUUAACGGCUUACCAAGGCAACGAUGCAUAGCCGACCGGACAGAGUGGUAGGCCACAUUGGAGGGGGGACGCGGUCAUGGCGCCUAAGAGACGGAGCAGUAGGGAAUCGGCCGCAAAGGGGGAAAGCCUGACGGAGCAGGGGGGCGUGAGUGAUGGAGGUCUUCGGAGCGUAAAACUGUGUUAUUAGGGGAGAACAGAUGUGUAAGUAACUGAGCACAUCGUGACGGUAACGAAUAAGAAAGCCACGGCUAACUACGUG